rnacentral:tRNA from 1 species
GCAUUGAUGGUUCAGUGGUAGAAUUCUCGCCUGCAACGUGGCAGACUUGGGUUUGAUUCCCGACCAAUGCA